ACCAGCAGAACACCCCAAACCACUCCAUUCUUACACCGUUUUCUCCUCUCGUCCUACUCUACCCGAUUCCUAUUGAAUAUUGAUAAAAUGUAAUUCCUAUUUAGUUGGGUAAUUAGCAUAUUUCAGGUUUAGUUGAGUCAAAGCAUAUCUUUAUUAGUAGUUUAGCGGGUAAAUUAGUGGUUAAGUUAGUGGGUCAUGUUCAGACAGUUAUCUCUUAGUAAGUUAGACUAAAUCUCUAGAUAAAGGGUGCUAUGUAGCUUUAUUUUUUUCGUGAAACUAAGUAACAAAAAUUUCUCUGCAUUAAACAGUCUUCUUCUAUAAUAGUUUUCUUGCUUCUUCUUCAAUUCCCCCAACAAUUUUUGUAUCAGAGCGAGGUGAGAAGUGAGAGAGUGGAACUCCACAAAUUACCAACCUUAUGUUCUUUUUUCUCUUUUUCCAGGUUAGGUCAAACUGGGAAGGUAAAGUAAGAGCAAAAAAAAAAGAGUCAAAAUUGAGGGAAAAGAAUGGCUCCCAAUAGAGCAUCCACCACUUCUCAGCAACUAAUUCAUACUUUUAAUGGGGAUAAAUAUGAAUUUUGGAGCAUAUAAAUGAAGACUUAGUUCAAGUCUCAAGAAUUGUGGGACUUGGUGGAGAAUGGCUAUGUUGAGGAAAACGAAGCUCAAAGACUACAGGAGAACAAAAAGGACUCCAAGGCCCGGUUUUACAUCCAGCAAGCUAUGCAUGAGUCAAUUUUCUCCAGAAUUGUUGUUGCAUAGACCUCAAAAGAAGCAUGAGAGACUAUAAGAAAGAAUUCGCGGCUCAACAAAGGUAAUGAUUGUUAAACUCCAGUCACUCCGGCGUGAUUUUGAAAAUUCAUCGAUGGAAAGUAGUGAAUCUGUGCAAGACUACUUAUCUAUGGUGACUGCAAUUGUUAGUCAAAUGAAGUGCAAUUGUUAGUCAAAUGAAGGCAUAUGAUGACACAAUUAGCGAUGAAGUUGUUGUCUCUGAAGCUCUAAAAAGUCUUAAUAAACGAUUUGACCAUAUUGUAGCUGCUAUUGAGAAGUCCCAUGAUUUAUCUACUAUACCUUUAAUGAAUUGAUAAGUUCCUUGCAAGCUCAUAAGGAUAGACUGUAUGCCUCUCAUGAGAAGGGCGAAGAUAAGGCAUUUCAAAUGAAGGGGGAGUCUUCUUUUAAAGGCAAAUCAGAAGUUUCAAAUGUUAGAGGGCAUGGAGGCAGAGGUGGUUUUCGUGGUCGAGGUCGUGGCAGAGGACAAGGUCAAUUUGGUGGUCAGAACCGACAGUUCAAGAGCACCAUUCAAUGUCGCUAUUGCAAAAAGUUCGGCCAUAAGGAAGUUAAUUGCUGGGCUAAACAAAAGGAUGACCAAAAGCAUGCCAAUUUCAUGGAGAAACCACAAUAGGAGAGUAAUCUGUUCAUGGCUCUCUCCUCUAUAGGUGCUGGUUUGAAUGGUGUCUGGUUCAUUGACAGUGGUUGUUCUAACCACAUGUCUGGCACAAGGUCGUUGUUCAAAGAGCUUGAUGAAUCGAAGAAGUCAGAAGUUCGGCUAGGAAAUGAUAAAGCAAUGAAAGACGAAGGGAAAGGUACAGUUGCCUUAAAAACUUCUCAAGGUAAUAUUAAACUUCUCCAUGAUGUGCAGUAUGUUCCUUGUUUAGCUCAUAACCUAUUGAGUGCUGGGCGAUUGAUGACUUGUGGAUACUUUAUUCUAUUUGAUGACAACUCUCGUAGCAUUCAAGAUAAAAAAAUCAGGUCAAAAAAUUGUUAAUGUUCAAAUGACUCAGAACAAAAUGUUUCCUCUUGAAGUUUCUAAUGUUAAAAGUUAUGCAUUAGUUGCCAAAGGUGGUAUAGAAGCUAACUUGUGACUUGCAGUAUGGUCAUUUGAAUAUAAAGGGGUUGCAAUUAUUAGGUCACAAAAAUAUGGUUCUUGGUUUGCCUAAAAUUGAUGCUCUUGAAUUUUGUGAAGGAGGUGUGAAUGGGAAGCAAAAUAGAAAUUCAUUCCCUGUAGGCAAGUCCUGGAGAGCUUCUAUUUGUCAUGAGUUGGUGCACGCUGAUUUGUGCGGCCCUAUGAGUGUUGAGUCCUUAGGUGGAAGUCGAUACUUUCUACUUUUUACUAAGGAUUAUAGUCGAAUGAGUUGGGUAUAUUUCUUUUAAUUCAAAUCUGAAACGUUUGAAUAUUUUAAGAAAUUUAAGUCUUUUGUUGAGAGGCAAAGUGGCUAUAGAGUCAAGACUCUUCUAACAGAUAGAAGUGGCGAGUUUAUGUCAAAUAAGUUCAACUCUUUUUGUGAUGAAAAUGGUAUUCACAGAGAGCUCAUAGCACCAUAUACACUGGAGCAGAAUGGUGUAGCCGAACGAAAGAACCAGACAGUUGUUGAGAUGGGUAGAAGCAUGAUGCAAGCCAAAGGUGUACCAAAGUGUUUCUAGGCUGAAACUGUUGCCACAACUGUCUAUUUGCUGAAUAUUUCACCCACCAAGGCUGUUCUUAAUCAAACACCAUAUGAAGCAUGGAAAGGUAACAAGCCUAAGGUAAGCCACUUAUGCAUCUUUUGAUGUAUAGCUUAUGCUUUGGUGAAUUCACAGGAUCAACAUAAGCUUGAUGGAAAAUCUGAAAAAUGUAUCUUUGUUGGCUAUAAUGCACAAUCCAAAGCUUAUAAGCUAUAUAAUUCAGUGAGUGGCAAAGUUGUAAUCAGUAGAAAUGUUGUGUUUAAUGAAGAUGCAACCUAGAACUUCAAUUCCGGGAAUGUGAAUAUAUAAAUUGGCACCUACUGAUGAUGUUUUUAAUCAAGAAUCUGCAGCAGACUCUACUCCAGGGAACUCAUCUAAUUCUUCUCGAGCAAGUAGCGGUCUUUCUCCUCCUCAGUCAAGCACCUCUUAUCCAGCAAGUGAUCACUCCUUAACUCCACAAGGAAGCGGCAACAAUUUUUCUCCAUCAGACUCUUCCAACGAGACUCCACCAACAAAAUUCAGAUUUUUGAGGAAAAUUAAUGAAAUUGCUCUUUUGAUUUGUAUGUUGCAGAACCCACUUGUUUCAAGGAAGCUGCUGAGAUUGAAGAAAGGAAAAAUGCAAUGAUAGAAGAGCAAUUGAGCAGAAUCAGACAUGGGAGUUGGUGGAUCUACUAGAUGGCAAAGAACCCAUUGGACUCAAAUGGGUGUUCAAAAUAAAGUAUCAUGCAGACGGGAGCAUACAGAGAUACUAGUGAGGCUGGUAACUAAAGGAUAUGCACAAUAUCAAGGGAUCUAGAAGAGGUUAAGUUUCCCAACCUGAGGGUUUUGUUAUUACAGAUGAUAAGAGCAAAGUGUACAAGCUAUAAAAGGCUCUUUAUGGGCUAAAACAAGUGCCACGGGCGUGGUACAACAAAAUUAACUCGUAUUUCCUAAAGAACAUAUUUGAAAGGAGCGAGAGCGAGCCUACAUUGUAUGUAAAGAAGUAAGGUAUGAGUGAUUUUCUGGUAGUUUGUCUGUAUGUUGAUGACAUGAUUUAUACGGGAUCAUGUAAAACUUUGGCGGCUGAAUUUAAAUCAUGUAUGAUGAAGGAGUUUGAAAUGUCAUAUUUAGGUAUCAUGCAAUAUUUUCUUGGUCUUCAAGUGAAACAUGAAGAAGAUGGUAUUUUUGUUUCACAAAGAAAGUAUGCAAAAGAUCUUCUGCUUAGGUUUGGUAUGCAGAAUUGUAAAGUGGCUGCUACACCCAUGAAUGCAAAUGAAAAAUUGCAGCUUGAAUAUGGCAUCGAUCCUGCUGAUCCAAGUUUAUUACAGAAGUUUGAUUGGAGGUUUGAAUUACCUAACACACACGUCCUGAUAUUAUGUUUUCGGUUAGUGUGUUAUCUAAGUAUAUGCAUAGUCCUACGAAGCAACAUCUUGGUGCUGCUAAAAGGGUUUUGCGAUAUGUUGCUGGGACCGUUGACUUUAGGAUUUGGUACUCUAAAGAUGCAGACUUCAGCUUGAUUGGUUAUAGUGACAGUGAUUGGGCAGGAAGUAUAGAUGACAGAAAGAGUACAUCUGGAAAUGUUUUCAGCUUUGGAUCUGGAGCAAUUUCGUGGUGUUCGGAGAAGCAGAACGUGGAUGCAUUAUCGUCGUCGAAAGCAGAAUAUGUUAUUGUAACUUCAACAGCUUGUUGGGCCAUAUGGUUGUGAAGAUUGUUAGUUGAUGUCUGCCAUCAGCAAGAGGGUGCAAUGAAAAUACUUUGUGACAACAAGGCAACGAUUGCAAUGACAAAGAAUUCGACUUUUCACAGCAGAACAAAGCAUAUUGACAUCCGUUAUCAUUUCAUUUGCAACCUCACAGCAAAAGGAGAAAUAGAGUUGAAGUUUUGCAGUACAAGGGAUCAAAUUGCUGAUGUCCUUACUAAGGCACUCCCACAAGUCAAGCAUGAUUAUUUUCGGUAGUAACUAGAAACUUGAAGUCUAUAGUUUUGAAUCAAGGGGAGUGCUGAAUAUUGAUUCAAAAAAUGUAAUUCCUAUUUAGUUGGGUAAUUGGCAUAUUUCCGAUUUAGUUGAGUCGAAGCAUAUCUUUAUUAGUGGCUUAGUGGAUAAAUUAGUGGUUAAGUUAUCAGUUAGUAAGUUAGACUAAACCCCUAUAUAAGGGUGCUAUGUAAGCUUUGUUUUCUAUGUAACUAAAGAAAAGUUCUUUGCAUUAAACCGUCUUCUUCUAUAAGAAA